CAAAACACCACCAACAAAAAAACCGUUGUGGGAGAGCCCAUUGAAUACAUUAUCAACCUUUUAAUAUUGUUUGGUAAAUUCCAUAUUCAUAAACGCAGAGCAUUGAAAAGGAAUUUAUACAGACUUCUGGCUGAAUUUGAACAAUAUACGAGUAUAAGCAGUAUGAAGCUUAGAGACUCUCCCAAAUGUCACAAAACUGCUCUAUAAAGAAUUUU